UUCAACUAAUGGAACUCCAUCUCAUUUUUUGAUAUAUCAUUCCAUUUAUCCUAGUUGAUAUUAGUUGUGUAGUUCUGACUUGUUUCAGUACAUAUGUAGGGCUCUUUUAAGACAUGGGAUCAUGAUAUAUAUUGACGUACCUUUAGACAUUGUGACCAGGGGUGUGGUCGAAGAUCAAACUCAGUUCUCUGCAUACAAUCUAUCUACUUCUGUAUCUUAUACAGAGAAGUAGCUGGUAAGUUAGGUUAUGAUGAAAACAAUGAUGUAACCACCGAAGACAUGGCUUUGGAGGUAAGAAGUGCUAGAUUGCAGACAUGUUUGGAAAUCAAAUGAAUGGUUUAUUUAAGUACUGAGUAUUACCGUCCCUUAGCUUGAAUAGUUUAUUCAUUUACUCUGUUUGUUUAGAUUUUUAGCUAAUAUAUUAAGCACUUUUGGGUUUGA